CACUUAGAUGGAGCUUGCUGGUUUUGAAGAAGCUGGAAUGGAAAUGUACGUAGAAAGUAUCUUCCUGAUGGAAUGUGCAAUUUCAAGUGGCCAUAGAUGGUGUGGGGGCUGGGAGCAGUAGACAGUUUAUGCAAGCAAGGCAGGAAAGUCUGGCACUUCCAUCCACUGAGAGUCAAGAGCACUUGCAGAGGACAGCAGUAGAUGCUAGAAACAAGGCAGGAUUUUCCAGGAUGCAGCACACAAUAUCUGGAAAGAGCAGAGGCUCAUCAGAUAUCCAGGACAAACGUGGAUAUUCUCGAGGGUGAACGGUGAAGGGUGAGUUAGGGAGCAUUAAGGAGAUUCUCAGAUGAGUUUUUCCUUAUAUAUCUCUGUGUUAUCCAUUUUUACGUGGCUAGGGAUGCCUCACAGGAAUCUACCAGUUACAAUUUGUGCUAGCUGGGCACUGUCAGUUACAGCAAUCUGCAAAAAUUCCCACGAGUGAUUAAGCCUACUUGAGUUGUUCCUUGAACUUACUAUGUGAAUGCAGUCUCUUCUAUCAUUUUCAUUCUGUUGCAUGCA